rnacentral:rRNA from 1 species
AACGAACGCUGGCGGCAUGCCUAACACAUGCAAGUCGAACGAGAUCCUUCGGGGUCUAGUGGCGCACGGGUGCGUAACGCGUGGGAGUCUGCCCUUAGGUUCGGAAUAACAGUUAGAAAUGACUGCUAAUACCGGAUGAUGACGUUAAGUCCAAAGAUUUAUCGCCUGAGGAUGAGCCCGCGUAGGAUUAGCUAGUUGGUGUGGUAAAGGCGCACCAAGGCGACGAUCCUUAGCUGGUCUGAGAGGAUGAUCAGCCACACUGGGACUGAGACACGGCCCAGACUCCUACGGGAGGCAGCAGUGGGGAAUAUUGGACAAUGGGCGCAAGCCUGAUCCAGCAAUGCCGCGUGAGUGAUGAAGGCCUUAGGGUUGUAAAGCUCUUUUACCCGGGAUGAUAAUGACAGUACCGGGAGAAUAAGCCCCGGCUAACUCCGUG